GACGAACCGUGCGAACGUUGUUCGGAAUCACUGGGCGUAAAGCGCACGUAGGCGGAUUGUUAAGUCAGGGUGAAAUCCUGGAGCUCAACUCCAGAACUGCCUUGAUACUGGCGAUCUUGAGUCCGGGAGAGGUGAGUGGAACUGCGAGUGUAGAGGUGAAAUUCGUAGAUAUUCGCAAGAACACCAGUGGCGAAGGCGGCUCACUGGCCCGGUACUGACGCUGAGGCACGAAGGCCAGG
rnacentral:rRNA from 1 species